rnacentral:rRNA from 1 species
GACGAACGCUGGCGGCGUGCCUAAUACAUGCAAGUCGAGCGAGACUCUUCGGAGUCUAGCGGCGGACGGGUGAGUAACACGUGGGCAACCUGCCUGUAAGACUGGGAUAACACCGGGAAACCGGUGCUAAUACCGGAUAAUCCUUUUCCUCUCAUGAGGAAAAGCUGAAAGUCGGUUUCGGCUGACACUUACAGAUGGGCCCGCGGCGCAUUAGCUAGUUGGUGAGGUAACGGCUCACCAAGGCGACGAUGCGUAGCCGACCUGAGAGGGUGAUCGGCCACACUGGGACUGAGACACGGCCCAGACUCCUACGGGAGGCAGCAGUAGGGAAUCUUCCACAAUGGACGAAAGUCUGAUGGAGCAACGCCGCGUGAGCGAUGAAGGCCUUCGGGUCGUAAAGCUCUGUUGUUAGGGAAGAACAAGUACCGGAGUAACUGCCGGUACCUUGACGGUACCUAACCAGAAAGCCACGGCUAACUACGUGCCAGCAGCCGCGGUAAAAC